AAUUAGUCCCUGCGCCACCGAUCGCAGUGGAAAUCCUUUCCCGAAGGGAAAGAUUGGAACGGAGAGCGGGAUCGCUU
rnacentral:sRNA from 1 species